rnacentral:rRNA from 1 species
ACGCUGACAGAAUGCUUAACACAUGCAAGUCAACUUGAAUUUGGGUUUUUAACUUAGAUUUGGGUGGCGGACGGGUGAGUAACGCGUAAAGAACUUGCCUCACAGCUAGGGACAACAUUUAGAAAUGAAUGCUAAUACCUGAUAUUAUGAUUUUAAGGCAUCUUAGAAUUAUGAAAGCUAUAAGCACUGUGAGAGAGCUUUGCGUCCCAUUAGCUAGUUGGAGAGGUAACAGCUCACCAAGGCGAUGAUGGGUAGCCGGCCUGAGAGGGUGAACGGCCACAAGGGGACUGAGACACGGCCCUUACUCCUACGGGAGGCAGCAGUGGGGAAUAUUGGACAAUGGACCGAGAGUCUGAUCCAGCAAUUCUGUGUGCACGAUGAAGUUUUUCGGGAUGUAAAGUGCUUUCAGUUGGGAAGAAAGAAAUGACGGUACCAACAGAAGAAGUGACGGCUAAAUACGUGCCAGCAGCCGCGGUAAUACGUAUGUCACGAGCGUUAUCCGGAUUUAUUGGGCGUAAAGCGCGUCUAGGUGGUUAUGUAAGUCUGAUGUGAAAAUGCAGGGCUCAACUCUGUAUUGCGUUGGAAACUGUAUAACUAGAGUACUGGAGAGGUAAGCGGAACUACAAGUGUAGAGGUGAAAUUCGUAGAUAUUUGUAGGAAUGCCGAUGGGGAAGCCAGCUUACUGGACAGAUACUGACGCUAAAGCGCGAAAGCGUGG